rnacentral:rRNA from 1 species
UACGAAGGGGCUAGCGUUGCUCGGAAUUACUGGGCGUAAAGCGCGCGUAGGCGGACCACCAAGUUGGAUGUGAAAUCCCAGGGCUCAACUCUGGAACUGCAUUCAAAACUGUUGGUCUAGAGGCUAGGAGAGGUCAGUGGAAUACCGAGUGUAGAGGUGAAAUUCGUAGAUAUUCGGAGGAACACCAGUGGCGAAGGCGGCUCACUGGCUCGAUACUGACGCUGAGGUGCGAAAGUGUGGGGAGCAAACAGG